rnacentral:lncRNA from 1 species
UAUAGUUUUAAUCGAACUCUUUCAAAAUGGUGACGUGGUGUUUACACAGCUCAGCUAAAAUGGAAGUGAAGUGCAACAUAUUACCAGAGACCCGGCAGGGGGUGAUUGGAUUAACUUCAACGAAGAAGGGCGCAGCAACGAUAACGACACAAAGCGAAUUCUUUGAAUAAAGUAUCCUGACAAGGGGCGAAUAUCGUAGCAGGCGAUCACUUGGAAAAUUUUCAAGGCAUUGCUGUACGCGUUACAUCGAAUAUAUAAUAAUAUAGAAAAUUUCCACUUUAAUAAAUAAAAACCUACAAAUCGUAUCCACAAUCUCUUCAAGUACAUUUUAUUGUAACAAAGACUCUGACUGAUUAUUUCGUUUUGUUAUCACCAAAUAUUAUCCCUCUCUAUCAGUCAAUAUGUUCAUCAACUUGUCAAUCAUUGUAUGAACGUUAAAUAAAUUGAAUUACAAAUC